UACGAAGGGUGCUAGCGUUGUUCGGAAUCACUGGGUUUAAAGGGUGCGUAGGUGGCGCGUUAAGUCCGUUGUGAAAGCCCUGGGCUCAACCCAGGAACUGCUUCGGAUACUGGCGCGCUUGAGGCUAGUAGGGGUCACUGGAACUGACGGUGGAGCGGUGAAAUGCGUAGAUAUCGUCAGGAACGCCAAUGGUGAAGACAGGUGACUGGGCUAGUUCUGACACUGAGGCACGAAAGCGUGGGGAGCGAACGGG
rnacentral:rRNA from 1 species